rnacentral:rRNA from 1 species
UACAGAGGUCUCAAGCGUUGUUCGGAUUCAUUGGGCGUAAAGGGUGCGUAGGCGGGUUCUUAAGUAAGGUGUUUAAUCCCGGGGCCCAACCCCGGACCGGCACUUUAAACUGGGAAUCUUGAAUAGUGGAGAGGUCAGUGGAAUUGGGGGUGUAGCGGUGGAAUGCGUAGAGAUCCCCAAGAACACCAGUUGCGAAGGCGGCUGACUGGACACAUAUUGACGCUGAGGCUCGAAAGCAUGGGGAGCAAACAGG